CUGCUGAACCACAGACAUGUUGCAGUGUCUAGUGUCAACUGAAUAGGGUUUAACUGAAUAAACAAGUUUGGAGUAGGCACUGAAAUGUGUUUGCAGAAUGUCCUGGACUUGAAGGAUGUGUUCUCCGGGAAUUUACGUAAGGAGAGGAAGGAGUGCUGGGUGGUGAAGGAUGUAAAGAACCAUCUCUGCCACUCACAUCAACAACAGAACCCUGGAAAAAUUUACAGAAAUUGCUCCUCAAUUAUGUGUUUUCAUCUGAUAGCAACCAUCAGACAUCUUAGUCAAACAAAGUUGUGCACAUAAAGUGUGACUGCACACUAUCAGUUGUUACCUAACUAGACACAUAUUUGCGUUCACCCAGGCUUUAUGUUGGAAAUAAAAUUUGUUUUUUGUGCUUG